rnacentral:tRNA from 1 species
UGGGGGAUAGUUUAAUUGGCAAAACGGGUGACUCUGGAUCACUUGAUCGGGGUUCAAAUCCCUGUCCCCCAGCCA